UACGUAGGGGGCAAGCGUUGUCCGGAUUUAUUGGGCGUAAAGAGCGUGUAGGCGGCCACACAGGUCUGCUGUGAAAACUCGAGGCUCAACCUCGAGCUGUCGGUGGAAACCGUGUGGCUAGAGUCCGGAAGAGGAGAGUGGAGUUCCCGGUGUAGCGGUGAAAUGCGCAGAUAUCGGGAAGAACACCCGUGGCGAAGGCGGCUCUCUGGGACGGUACUGACGCUGAGGCGCGAAAGCGUGGGGAGCAAACAGG
rnacentral:rRNA from 1 species